rnacentral:rRNA from 1 species
UACGAAGGGGGGCUAGCGUUGCUCGGAAUCACUGGGCGUAAAGGGUGCGUAGGCGGGUCUUUAAGUCAGGGGUGAAUCCUGGAGCUCAACUCCAGAACUGCCUUUGAUACUGAAGAUCUUGAGUUCGGGAGAGGUGAGUGGAACUGCGAGUGUAGAGGUGAAAUUCGUAGAUAUUCGCAAGAACACCAGUGGCGAAGGCGGCUCACUGGCCCGAUACUGACGCUGAGGCACGAAAGCGUGGGGAGCAAACAGG